rnacentral:rRNA from 1 species
AUGCGGCGGUUCGCCGCCCGUGACUCUGCGAGAAGUCCAUUGAACCUUAUCAUUUAGAGGAAGGAGAAGUCGUAACAAGGUUUCCGUAGGUGAACCUGCGGAAGGAUCAUUG